GCCUCCUUUCCUCAUCAUUAUUUAAUCUUCCACAAUUUUCGAAAUCCUUAUUUAUCAACGCCUCGUGGGUGAAGAAGGUCUUCGGAUCGUAAAACCCUGUUGUUAGAGAAGAAAGUGCGUGAGAGUAACUGUUCACGUUUCGACGGUAUCUAACCAGAAAGCCACGGCUAACUACGUGCCAGCAGCCGCGGUAAUACGUAGGUGGCAAGCGUUAUCCGGAUUUAUUGGGCGUAAAGGGAACGCAGGCGGUCUUUUAAGUCUGAUGUGAAAGCCUUCGGCUUAACCGGAGUAGUGCAUUGGAAACU
rnacentral:rRNA from 1 species